rnacentral:rRNA from 1 species
UUAUUGGAGAGUUUGAUCCUGGCUCAGGAUGAACGCUGGCGGCGUGCCUAAUACAUGCAAGUCGAGCGAAUGGAUUGAGAGCUUGCUCUCAAGAAGUUAGCGGCGGACGGGUGAGUAACACGUGGGUAACCUGCCCAUAAGACUGGGAUAACUCCGGGAAACCGGGGCUAAUACCGGAUAACAUUUUGAACUGCAUAGUUCGAAAUUGAAAGGCGGCUUCGGCUGUCGCUUAUGGAUGGACCCGCGUCGCAUUAGCUAGUUGGUGAGGUAACGGCUCACCAAGGCAACGAUGCGUAGCCGACCUGAGAGGGUGAUCGGCCACACUGGGACUGAGACACGGCCCAGACUCCUACGGGAGGCAGCAGUAGGGAAUCUUCCGCAAUGGACGAAAGUCUGACGGAGCAACGCCGCGUGAGUGAUGAAGGCUUUCGGGUCGUAAAACUCUGUUGUUAGGGAAGAACAAGUGCUAGUUGAAUAAGCUGGCACCUUGACGGUACCUAACCAGAAAGCCACGGCUAACUACGUGCCAGCAGCCGCGGUAAUACGUAGGUGGCAAGCGUUAUCCGGAAUUAUUGGGCGUAAAGCGCGCGCAG